GGACACACUUUCCGCCUUCUCCAGCGAUUUGGUAAAUGCAAGUUGUGUUAACUAAUACUCCUAUCCCACUCACUCCUGGCACUCACUACAUCAAUGCAUUCCUUUAGGCAAAUCCUGCUGGACCACGGCCUGCUCCGCCGGAGCCUGGCCCCUCUCGCUCUUUGGGAACUGGGGAUGGGGAGACUGACACUGAAGCUGUGCGCACGCUAUAUAAGCGCUACUUGCGUGCCAAGAUUCACAACCUCCACUUAAGCUCAAUGAAGCUGGAUUUGGAGGUUAAAUUGCUUAAACGGCAGCUGAAUGAUAACCAAUAAAGGGGAAAAAAAAUAAAGGCUUUAUUGUACAACAUGGAUCUCUUACAUUAUUCUUCAGCAUGUUCCUCUAUUCAGAAUCAGAAUGAAUUAAAUGAAUAAGGAUGCAAACUGCAGUGCAUUGUGUGCGGGGGUCCCAGAGUCAGUGUGGUGCAGGGGGCUUGUUUGUGAGCCCCUUGUUACAUUUACAUUUAGUCAUUUAGCAGACGCUCUUAUACAGAGCGACUUACAGUAAGUACAGGGACAUUCCCCCGAGGCAAGUAGGGUGAAGUGCCUUGCGCAAGGACACAACGUCAUUUUGCACGGCCAAGAAUCGAACAGGCAACUUUCUGAUUACUAGCCCGAUUCCCUAACCGCUCAACCACCUGACUCUUGUUUGUGAGUCCAUUGGUUUUAAUGGACCGGACCCUUUUGCUGGAUGGGAAGAGGUGGUGGCCAGGAUGGGAAGGGUCAGCAAUGAUCCUGCCUGCUCUCUUGCUGGUCCUGGAGUGGAACAGGUCAGGGUGGGACCAAAUGAUCUGCUGCAGUCUGCCUUGGUCCUUGGCAGUGGAGGUGCAAACCAGACUGAGUUGGGAUGGACUCGAUGAUGGCUGAGGAUGGACUAUUAAUGGGUAACUUAAAAGCAAAGAGGGUGGCUAACCAUAUAAAUGAAACA